UGGGGAAUUUUGGACAAUGGGGGAAACCCUGAUCCAGCCAUCCCGCGUGUGCGAUGAAGGCCUUCGGGUUGUAAAGCACUUUUGGCAGGAAAGAAACGUCGCGGGUUAAUACCCCGCGAAACUGACGGUACCUGCAGAAUAAGCACCGGCUAACUACGUGCCAGCAGCCGCGGUAAUACGUAGGGUGCAAGCGUUAAUCGGAAUUACUGGGCGUAAAGCGUGCGCAGGCGGUUCGGAAAGAAAGAUGUGAAAUCCCAGAGCUUAACUUUGGAACUGCAUUUUUGAACUACCGGGCUAGAGUGUGUCAGAGGGAGGUGGAAUUCCGCGUGUAGCAGUGAAAUGCGUAGAUAUGCGGAGGAACACCGAUGGCGAAGGCAGCCUCCUGGGAUAACACUGACGCUCAUGCACGAAAGCGUGGGGGAGCAAAACAGGAUUAGAUACCCUGGUAGUCCACGCCCUAAACGAUGUCAACUAGCUGUUGGGGGCCUUCGGGCCUUGGUAGCGCAGCUAACGCGUGAAGUUGACCGCCUGGGGAGUACGGUCGCAAGAUUAAAACU
rnacentral:rRNA from 1 species